ensembl:lncRNA
GGGUAAUGACGUGCGGGUUAAAGUGGUAGUGAUGUGAGGGGGAAGGAGGGGAUGUGAAGGGCGAAACGGGGAGGAUAUGAGGGGUGAAGUUAUGGAGAUUUGAAGGGUGAGGUGGUAAUGGGAAAACUAAAGAGAGGGCAUGUGAGGGGUGAGGUAGUGAUACGAUGGGUAAGGUGGAGAUGUUAGGGGUGAGGAGGGGAUGUGAGGGGUGAGGAGGUGGUGAUGUGAGCGGUGAGGAGGUGGUGAUGUGAGCGUUGAGGAGGUGGUGAUGUGAGCGGUGAGGAGGUGGUGAUGUGAGCGUUGAGGAGGUGGUGAUGUGAGUAGUGAGGAGGUGGUGAUGUGAGCGUUGAGGAGGUGGUGAUGUGAGCGGUGAGGAGGUGGUGAUGUGAGUAGUGAGGAGGUGGUGAUGUGAGCGGUGAGGUGGUGGUGAUGUGAGGUGGUGGUGAUGUGAGCGGUGAGGAGGUGGUGAUGUGAGCGGUGAGGAUGUGGUGAUUUGAG